AUCGCUUCUCGGCCUUUUGGCUAAGAUCAAGUGUAGUACCUUGAUGUUAGCAAAGCCUUU
rnacentral:snRNA from 1 species